rnacentral:rRNA from 1 species
GACGAACGCUGGCGGCGUGCUUAAUACAUGCAAGUCGAACGGAAAGGCCCUACUUUUGUGGGGUUCUCGAGUGGCGAACGGGUGAGUAACACGUGAGUAACCCGCCCUUAACUUUGUGAUAACUUCACGAAACUGGGGCUAUUACCGCGUAGGAUCUCCUGCUGCAUGGUGGUGGUUGGUAAGUUUCGGCGGUUGGGGCUAGACUCGCGGCUUAUCAGCUUGUUGGGGGGGUAGUGGCUUACCAAGGCUUUGACGGGUAGCCGGCCUGAGAGGGUGACCGGCGACAUUGGGACUGAGAUACGGCCCAGACUCGUACGGGAGGCAGCAGUGGGGAAUCUUGCACAAUGGGCGGAAGCCUGAUGCAGCAACGCCGCGAGCGGGAUGACGGCUUUCGGGUUGUAAACAGAUUUCGCCGGUGACGAAGAGAGAGUGACGGUAAUGGGUAAAGAAGCACCGGCUAACUACGUG